rnacentral:rRNA from 1 species
CCGGACCGUGUACAAGUCUCUUGGAACAGGACGUCAUAGAGGGUGAGAAUCCCGUCUUUGACACGGACUACCAGUGCUUUGUGAUGCGCUCUCGAAGAGUCGAGUUGUUUGGGAAUGCAGCUCAAAAUGGGUGGUAAAUUCCAUCUAAAGCUAAAUAUUGGCGAGAGACCGAUAGCGAACAAGUACCGUGAGGGAAAGAUGAAAAGCACUCUGGAAAGAGAGUUAAACAGUACGUGAAAUUGUUGAAAUGGAAACGAUUGAAGUCAGUCACGUCUCUCGGAAUUCAACCUCACUGUGUUGUGUGGUGUACUUUCUGGGUUUGACGGGCCAUCAUCAAUUUUGAUCGUCAGAGAAAGGUGGAUGGAAUGUGGCACCUCCGGGUGUGUUAUAGCCUUCCAUCGUAUGUGAUGGUCAGGAUUGAGGUUCGCAGCAUGCCUUCAUGGCCGGGGUUCGCCCACGUAACAUGCUUAGGAUGCUGGCGUAAUGGCUUCAAACGACCCGUCUUG